GAACGCUGGCGGCGUGCUUAACACAUGCAAGUCGAACGGAAAGGCCCUGCUUUUGUGGGGUGCUCGAGUGGCGAACGGGUGAGUAACACGUGAGUAACCUGCCCUUGACUUUGGGAUAACUUCAGGAAACUGGGGCUAAUACCGGAUAGGAGCUCCUGCUGCAUGGUGGGGGUUGGAAAGUUUCGGCGGUUGGGGAUGGACUCGCGGCUUAUCAGCUUGUUGGUGGGGUAGUGGCUUACCAAGGCUUUGACGGGUAGCCGGCCUGAGAGGGUGACCGGCCACAUUGGGACUGAGAUACGGCCCAGACUCCUACGGGAGGCAGCAGUGGGGAAUAUUGCACAAUGGGCGGAAGCCUGAUGCAGCAACGCCGCGUGCGGGAUGACAGCCUUCGGGUUGUAAACCGCUUUCGCCUGUGACGAAGCGUGAGUGACGGUAAUGGGUAAAGAAGCACCGGCUAACUACGUG
rnacentral:rRNA from 1 species